AACAUGUCUUCUAAACACAAAAGAGAACAACAUCAGAAUGGAUCGAUUUCCUGAUUUUGAGUGUCCAGUCAAAUCUGGAUAUAAUUUAACAUUUUCAUGCAAUGGACAAGGACUGAUUUUAAAAGGACAGAGAGAAAUCACCUGUCAGUCAAAUGGAGAAUGGAGCAGCCCUUUUCCAAAAUGUGAAGGCAAACACACAGAAGCAGUAACCUGUGAGCUUAAGUCAACCACAUUUGGAGUAAAACAGAUCAAGCCAGAGG